rnacentral:lncRNA from 1 species
GGAACGCCAAGGCCUGCGGAUGCCUGCAAGUCUACCUCGGGUCUCCUAAUGGAGUGAAGGCAACAACCCCUAGCUAAGGUUUGUAUGUUCCAGUACCGAGAUCUGCACACAGUGCAGAGUGUAGUAUCAGCACAACCGACCCCAUGUGCCAGUAAGUGUCGAGUCUAACCUCGGCGAAGUAGUGAUGAGGCUAAGACGAGACUACCAAAUAAACCUGUGCAGUUAAAGCAUAUACGACAAGCAAUAAUAACAGAAACUAGCAGUUAAAGAUGGGAAGGGGAGCAUGCUGCGGGGGAAUAUCAAGUAACAAUAGUAACUCAGGAGAAAAACAUAAAGAACAUUUUAAGGUUUGCAUCAGUAAGAAUAAGGAAACAAUAACAAGUCAAUAUCCACUCUUAUUAUUUAUUGUUGCAGCGCACAACUUGAUCCAAAUCAUAUAACCAUGUUGCGGCGUGCAACCCGAUCCAAUCAUAUAUCAUUGUUGCGCUGUGCAACCCGAUCCAAUCAUAUAUCAUUGUUGCAGCGUGCAACCCGAUACAAUCAUAUAUCAUUAUUGCGCUGUGCAACCCGAUCCAAUCAUAUAUCAUUGUUGCGGCAUGCAACCCGACCCCUCAUGUCCUCUCUUAUUACUCCAUGUUGCGGGGUACAACCUCAUCCCAUAUAAUAUUGUUAUAGCGUGCAACCCGACCCCAUUAUACAAUUCAACACCAAGCACAAAAGAAUCCCAACAAGAGAACAAUAAGGAAACAACAAUAUCCCGACAAGGGAAUCAACAAUAAGGAUAAACACAUCCCGGCAAGGGAACCAACAGUAAGAAGUAAAUACAUCCCGGCAAGGGAAUCAACUAUAACCAUAAUUGUUCCAACAUUUAACCUCACAAAAGAAGCCUCAACUAGAACCAAUACUCAACCAUAAACAAUUGCCACAAGAAUAAUCAUAAUUCUUACCCAACACCGAGAAUCAACAACUUAGGCAUUUGUAAUACUUAUUAAGAACACAACGAUUUCAAUUUAAGACUCACGGGCAUGCUUGACAACGACGUAUAGAUACUCGUCACCACACCUAUACGUCGUACACUACACUAGCACAUAGCAAAUAUAGAACGAUACCUAUUCCCUCAAGCUAAGGUUAGACCAAACACUUACCUCGAAUUUCCACGGCCAACUCAAGCCUCAAACACUACUUUUUUUUUUUAGAAUUCGCCUCCAAAUUACUUGUAUCUAGUCCAAAUUAAUUUAACAAUAUCAAUAAAGGCUAAGGAAUUCAUACACAAUGAUAAAUUAUAGAUUUUCUACCAUUUUCCCCAAAAAGUCAAAAAUUGAUCUCGGUACCGCUUGGUCAAAUUCGAAGUGUGGACCAAAGCCCGAUAACCCAUUCACCCAUGAGCCCAAAUAUGCAAUUAAUUUCGUAAUCCGACCCCAAAACGAGGUCUAAAUUUCAAUUAUUUAAAAAACCCUAACUCUACCCAAAUCCCCAAUUUCUACCAUAAAAACCCUAGAUUUUUGGAUGAAGAUUGAUGAAAUGCAAUGAGAAAUCGAAAGAAAAAGGUUUAGAAUCAUAUACCAAUGCUUGAGGGAAGAACUUCUCUCUUGAAAAUCGCCUUAAUGCUCUCUAGUUCUGAAAAUAUGAAGUAAAUGGGUUCUACCCAUUUUUUUGCUACUGUUUUAAAAUUGACUGGGCAGGCCUUCAUCGCGUUCGCGAUGGCCUGUCGCGUUCGUGAUGGUCCUGUCACGUUCGCGAUGGGUCAGGCCCAUAUGGCCAUCGCAUUCGUGUUCAAUGGCUUGUGUUCGCGAAACUUCAGCUCCUCAAGCCUUCGCAUUCGCGGUCAGGUGGCCACGUUCGUGUAGAACAAUUUGAAACCCCUCCCCAAGGCCCACUAACCCUACGCGUUCGUGAGAGCCUGAACGCAUUCGCGAAGGGUAACUCCCCCCACAGCAUCGCGUUCGCGUCCUGAGCUUCGCGUUUGCGAAAAACAACCCGGUACCUGAGGAAACUUGCCUUACACGUUCGCGAGUGAAGCCAUGCGAACGCGAAGAAUAAAAUCUCUGUGCAUCUCAGACAGCAAAACCUGCAACUUUUUUAAGUGUAAAAACAUCCUGAAACCUAUCUGAAACUCACCCGAGCCCUCGAGGCUCCAAAUUUUAACAACCGAGGGUCCGAUUCACGUCAUUUCAAGUUCGUUUCUUACCAAAUUUUACAAGCUCAACCUAAAUACAAUAUAAGACCUGUACCGGGCUCCGGAACCAAAAUAAGGGCCUGAUACCAUCAAUUUCAAAUAUAUUCAAAUUUCCAAAAACUCUUAAAAUGUCAGUUAAAAAAUUUUCUUCAAAAAUUCAUUUCUCGAGCUUGGGACUUCGGAAUUCAAUUCCGGGCAUACACCCAAGUCCCAUAUUUUUCUAUGGACCCUCCGGGACCGUCAAAUCAUAGGUCCGAAUCCGUUUACCCAAAAUAUUGACCUAAGUCAACUUAAAUUCAAUUUUAAGGCCACAUUAACUUUUUCAUCAAAUUAUCACAUAAAAGCGUUCUGGAUGUACGCCCGGACUGUGCACGUAAAUUGAGGUGAAAUAAAAGGAGGCUUUUAAGACCUCAAAAUGUAGAAUUUACUUAUAAAUCAAGUGAUGACCUUUUGUGUCAUCACAUCCUCCACCUCUAAGACAACCGUUCAUCCUCGAACGGACAUAGAAAAGAAGUACCUGAGUCGGGGACUCCCUGGUAGCUGCCUCGGCAGGCUGACCUCUCCACUGAACACGAACAGAAAGGAACUUCUUCGAUCUCAACUAACGAACCUGCCAGUCCUUGUCCAACUGGAUAGUGCUAAAGUCUAACACGUAGGACAGAUCGCCGUGAUACUUCCGAAGCAUGGAAGCAUGAAACACUAGGUGCACAACUAAUAAACUCGGUGGCAACGCAAUUCUAUAAGCCACCUCUCCCACUCGAUCAAGAAUAUCAAAAGAACCAAUGAACCUAGGGCUUAGCUUGCCCAUCUUCCCAAAUCUCAUCACGCCCUUCAUGGGCGACACCCGAAGCAACACCCGCUCUCCGACCAUAAAUUCCACGUCACAAACCUUGUAGUCGGCAUAACUCUUCUGCCUGGACUGAGCUGUACGAAGCCUGUCCUGAAUAAUCUUCACCUUAUCCAAGGCAUCUUGAACUAGAUCUGUACCCAACAACUAAGCCUCUCCCGGCUUAAACCAUCCAACUGGCGAUCGACACCGCCUACCAUAUAGUGCCUUAUAGGGAGCCAUCUGAAUGCUCGACUAGUAGCUGUUAUUGUAGGAAAACUCUGCUAAAGGCAAGAACUCAUCCCACAAACCUCCAAAGUCCAUAACACAAGCUCGGAGCAUAUCCUCCAAAAUCUGAAUAGUACGCUCGGAUUGUCCGUCCGUCUAGGGAUGAAAUGCUAUGCUCAACUCAGCCUGUGUGCCCAACUCAUGCUGAACUACCCUCCAGAAAUUUGAGGUAAACAGCGUACCUCGAUCGGAAAUGAUAGACACUGGAACACCAUGAAGACGAACAAUCUCCCAGAUAUAGAUCUCCUAACCUCUCGGAAGAAUAGGAGACAUGAAUGAAAUGUGCUGACUUAGUCAGCCUAUCAACAAUAACCCACAUUGCAUCGAACUUUCUCUGAGUCUGUGGGAGUCUAACAACAAAGUUCAUAGUGAUAAGCUCCCACUUCCACUCAAGAAGCUCAAUCCUCUGAAACAAACAGGUCUCUGAUGCUCGUACUUUACCUGCUGACAAUUCAAACACCGAGCUACACAGGCAACAAUGUCCUUCUUCAUCCUUCUCCACCAAUAAUGUUGCUGCAAAUCCUGAUACAUCAUAGUGGCGCCCGGGUGAAUAGAAUACCGGAAACUAUGGGCCUCCUCUUGAAUCAACUCAUGAAGUCCAUCAACAUUAGGCACACAAAUACGACCCUGCAUCCUCAGAACUCCAUCAUCUCCAACUAUAACCUGCUUGGCACCUCCAUGCCACGCUAUGUCUCUGAGGACAAGAAAAUAAGGGUCAUCAUACUGCCGAUCUCAGAUACACUCAAAUAAUGAAGAACGAGCGACUGUGCAAGCUAUAACAUGGCUGGGUUCAGAAACAUCCAACCUCACGAACUGAUUGGCCAAAGCCUGAACAUCCAAAACAAGUGGUCUCUCACCGACUGGAAUAUAUAGAAGGCUGCCCAUACUGGCUGACUUCCUACUCAAUGCAUCGACCACUACAUUGACCUUUCCUAGAUGAUACAAGAUGGUGAUAUCAUAGUCAUUCAAUAGCUAGAACCACCUCCUCUGCCUCAAAUUUAGCUCUUUCUGCUUGAACAAGUAUUGCAAACUCUUGUGAUCCGUGAACACCUCACAUGACAUGCCAUACAAAUAAUUCCUCCGAAUCUCCAACACGUGAACAAUGGCUGCUAACUCCAUAUCAUGAACUGGAUAAUUCUUCUCGUGGAUCUUCAACUGUCGCGAAGUAUAUGCAAUAACCUUUCCAUUCUGCAUAAACACCGCACCAAGUCCAAUAUGUGAUGCAUCACAAUACACUAUAUAUGGCCCUAAACCUAUGGGCAAAACCAACACUGGCAUUGUAGUCAAAGCUGUCUUGAGCUUCUUAAAGCUCGUCUCACACUCAUAUGACCACCUGAACUGGGCAACCUUCUGGGUUAACCUGGUCAUCGGGGCUGCAAUGGAUGAAAACCUCUCCACAAAUCGAUGAUAAUAACCUGCCAAACCCAAGAAACUCCGAAUUUCUAUAGCUGAUGUGGGUCUAGGCCAGUCCUUAACUGUCGUAAUCUUCUUAAGAUCCACCUGAAUACCCUCUAUUGAUACAUAAUGACCCAAGAACGCAACCGAACUCAACCAGAACUCACACUUCGAAAACUUGGCAUACAAUUGACUAUCCUUCAGUGUCUGAAGAACGACUCGAAGAUGCCGCUCGUGAUCCUCCCGGCUAUGGGAAUAGAUCAAAAUAUCAUCAAUGAUGACUAUCAAGAAUGAAUCCAAAUAAUUCUUAAACACUCGAUUCAUCAAAUCCAUAAAAACCGUUGGGGCAUUUGUCAACCCAAAUGACAUCAUCAAGAACUCAUAAUGCUCGUACCAAGUGCGAAAAGCUGUCUUAGGGACAUCGGAUCCCUAAUCCUCAACUGAUGGUAGCCAGAUCUCAAGUCAAUAUUCAAAAAUACCUUUGCACCCUGAAGCUGAUCAAACAAAUUAUCAAUCCUCGGCAAUGGAUACUUAUUCUUGAUUGUGAGCUUGUUCAAUUGCUGAUAAUCUAUACACAUCCUCAUCGAUCCGUCAUUAUUCUUAACAAAAAACACUGGCACACCCCCAAGGCGAGAUACUAGGCCUAAUAAAGCCCUUAUCAAGUAAGUCUUGCAACUGUUCUUUCAAUUAUUUCAACUCUGGCAGGGCCAUACGAUACGUUGGGAUAGAAAUGGGCUGAGUGCGCGGAGCCAAAUGAAUGCAGAAGUCAAUAUCCUUGUCGGGUGGCAUACCCGGUAGGUCUGAAGGAAAUACCUCAGGAAACUCACGAACAACACGCACAAAAUCCAUAGAAGGAACCUUAGCACUAGAAUCACGAGCAUAUGCAAAAUAGGACAAACACCCCUUCUCAACCAUAUGCCGAACCUUCAUAUAUGAGAUAACCCGAUGGGUAGAAUGACAAGGAGUCCCUAUCCACUCUAAAUGAGGUAAACCCGGUAAGGCAAAUGUCACAGUCUUGGCAUGACAGUCCAAGAUAGCAUGGUAAGGCGAUAACCAGUUUAUCCCCAAUAUGACAUCAAAUCAACCAUAUCCAAAAGUAACAGAUCUACUCGGGUCUCAAAACCCCCAAUCACAACUAUAUAUGAACGAUGGACACAAUCCACCACAAUAUAAUCACCCACAGGUGUAGACACAUAUACAUGAGCACUCAAAUAAUCACUAGGCAUGACCAGAUACGGGGCAAAAUAAGAUGACACAUAAAAGUAUGUAGACCCUGGAUAAAAUAGAACUAAAGCAUCUCUACUAUAGAUCGGAACGAUACCUAUGAUAACUGCAUCGGAGGCCUCAGCCUUGGGCCGGCUGGAAGAGCAUAACAUCGGGGCUGGGCCCUACAACAUUGAGCUACGUCCCUAGGACGGUCUCCUGCUGGCUGGCCUCUACCUCUAGUGGCCUGACCUUCACCUUUAAUACCUCUACCUCCACCUCUAGCACAUCUACCCCCACCCUUAGCUGGCUGAGCAUGCGGCAAAACACUUGGUGCCUGAAACAUAACAUGGGAACUUUGUUGCUGCGAUUGAACACCUACUAAUCUCAGACAAGACCUUCAGAUAUGACCAUACUCAUCGCAACCAAAGCAUCCACUUGAGUGUUGCGGCUGAGGGAACUGAGACUGACCUUGGCUGGCCAGCUGACCAUGAGAAUAGCUCUGAAUAGGAGGUGCUCUAAUAGGAGCUGAUGGUGCACGGUAGGACUGCUGAUCAGAAUACUGCAUAUGAGAACCACGACCACCUAAAGCACCAUGAGAAGUUUGAAGUGCUGAAUGAAAUGGUCUGGGAGUAUGGCCCUUACCAAAAGAAUCCCUGCCUUCAGAUGAGGCACCACUAAACCUGCCUGAAUGACAGGGCUUCUUGUCAGACCCCUGACCACUACCUUAUGAUAAAACCAUCUCAACUCUCCUGGCCACAUUGGCCGCAUCCUGAAAAGAAAUCUCGCUCCCAGUCCCCUUAGCCAUCUGCAAUCGAUUCAGCUGAGCGAGUCCCUUAAUGAACUCCUCACCCUCUCUCUCUCGGUGGGAAGUAUGAUAAGAGCAUGAUGGGCCAAAGCAAUGAAUCUGGUCUCACACUGAGUGAUGGUCAUAGAACCCUACUGGAGACGCUUAUACUGCCUCCGAUAGUCCUCCCUCUAAGUGUUAGGAAGAAACUUCUCUAGAAAUACCUAAGAGAAUUGAUACCAAGUCAAGGCAGGCAACCCAGAUGGACUAGCCAAACAAUAAUUCCUCCACCAAGUCUUGGCGGAACAUGACACACGAAAAGCAACAAAGUCAACCCCAAUGGUCUCCACUAUCCCCAAGUUCCGAAGAACCUCAUGACAACUGUCUAAGAAAUCCUGGGGAUCCUCUGAAGAUGUACCACCAUAAGUAGUAGUGAACAGCUUGGUGAACUUGUCCAAUCUCCAUAAAGCAUCGGCAGACAUAGCUGCUCCAUCACCGGUUUGAGCUAUCAUACCAGGCUGAACUACUCUAACUAGUUGAGCUGUUGGAGUCUGAAACUGGGGAGUCAUCUGCUCCGGAGUGCAGGUAGCGGGAGUCCGUGCUCCUCCCCCAGCCUGAGAGAUGGCUGAUGCUACAGGAAGUAAGCCUGCCCGGGUGACACUCUCCAUAAGGCCCACUAGACGGACUAGAGCAUCCUGGAGUAUUGGGGUAGCAAUGAACCCCUCUGGGACCUGAGCUGGGCCCACCGAAACUGUCUGGGCCGGAACCUCAUCAUCAAACUCUACCUGAGGCUCUGCCGCUGGUACUGCUGCUUCGGGUUGAGCUCUGCCCCUGCCUUGGCUUGUAGCACGGCCUCGGCCUCACCCUAUGCCCCUCAUGGGAGCUGCUACUGGGGGCUCGAGAUACUGGUCAGUGGAUGAAGAAACGUAUGUUCUCGUCAUCUGCGAAAGAACAUAGUAGAAAUCCAAUUAGCAUUGAGAAACCAAACCGCACGAUAGAGAUGAAUAGAAGUGAAACUAUUCCCAACUCUGCAACCUCUAUGGGAUAAGCACAGACGUCUCUGUACCGAUCCCUCAGACUCUACUAAGCUUGUCCGUGAAUUGUGAGACCUAAGCAACCUAGAGCUUUGAUACCAAUUUAUCACGACCCGGAUUUCCCACCCAUGGGAGUCGUGAUGGCACCUGCUAGUGAAAGCUAGGCAAGCCAAUGAUUUCAAUUACUUUACCCUUUUUAUUUUUAAUACAUUAACAGUUGUAGAUUAACAUUUUAUAAACAGUGGAAUUAUUAAAAUGGAAGAAUGAAAUGUAACAUUUUAAGCUAAUACCGAUACAAAUCCAUAACAUAAACCACCCAGAACUGGUGUCACAAUCUCAUGGACUAUCUAAGAAAACUCCAAAUAAUGUCUGAACAAGAAAGUACAUGUCUGUCUUUGGAAUAUAUAAGAACAAAAAGAAAGUAGAUAUGGAGGGAACGCCAAGACCUGCGGACGCCUAUAAGUCUACCUCGGGUCUCCUGAUGGACUGAAGGUAGCAACCCCUAGCUAAGGUCUGUAUGCUCUAGUAUCGAGAUCUGCACACAGUGCAGAGUGUAGUAUCAACACAACCGACCCCAUAUGCUGGUAAGUGUCGAGCCUAACCUCGGCGAAGUAGUGAUGAGUCUAGGACGAGACUACCAAAUAAGCCUGUGCAGUUAAAGCAUAUAAGAUAAGCAAUAAAAAUGGAAACUAGCAGUUAAAGAUUGGAAAAGGAGCAUGCUGCGGGGGAUAUCAAGUAACAACAGUAACUCAGAAGAAAAACAUAAAGAACAUUUUAAGGUUUGCAUCAGUAAGAAUAAGGAAACAACAAUAAGUCAAUAUCAACUCUUAUAAUUUAUUGGUGCGGCGCGCAACCCAAUCCAAAUAAUAUAACACUGUUGCGACGUGCAACCCAAUAUAAUCAUAUAUCAUUAUUGUGGCGUGCAACCCAAUCCAAUAAUAUAUCAUUGUUGCGGUGUGCAACCCGACCCCUCCUGUCCUCCCUUAUUACUCCACGUUGUAGUGUGCAACCCAAUUCUAUAUAAUGUUGUUGCGGUGUGCAACCCGAUCCCAUUAUACAAUUCAACACCAAUCACAAAAGAAUCCCAACAAGGGAACAAUAAGGAAACAACAAUAUCCCGGCAAGGAAAUCAACAAUGAGAAUAAACACAUCCUGGCAAGGGAACCAACAGUAAGAAGUAAAUACGUCCCAGCAAGGGAAUCAGCUAUAACCAAACUUGUUCCAAUAUUUAACCUCACAAAAGAAGCCUCAACUAGAGCCAAUACUAAACCAUAAACAAUUGCCACGAGAAUAAUCAUAAUUCUUACCCAACACCGAGAAUCAACAACUUAGGCAUUUGUAGUACUUAUUAAGAACACAACGAUUUCAAUUUAAGACUCACGUGCAUGCUUGACAACGGCGCAUUGAUACUCGUCACUACACUUAUACGUCGUACACUACAAUAGCACAUAGCAAAUAUAGCACGAUACCUAUUCCCUCAAGCUAAGGUUAGACCAAACACUUACCUCGAAUUUUCACAGCCAACUCAAGCCUCGAACACCACUUUUUCCUUUAUAAUUCGCCUCCAAAUUACUUUUAUCUAGUCCAAAUUAAUUUACCAACAUCAAUAAAUGCUAAGGAAUCCAUACCCAAUAUCCCCAAAAAGUCAAAAAUUGACCCCAGGCCCUCUUGGCCAAAAUUCGAGGUUCGGAUCAAAACCCAAUCAUGCAUUCACCACGAGCCCAAAUAUGCAAUUAAUUUCGAAAUCCAACCCCAAAAUGAGGUCUAAAUUAAGAUUAUUCAAAAAGCCCUAGCUCUACCCAAAUCCCCAAUUUCUACCAUAAAAACUCUAGAUUUUUUGAUGAAGAUUGAUGAAAUUCAAUGGGAAAUCGAAAGAAAAAGGUUUAGAAUCAUAUACCAAUGCUUUAGGGAAGAACUUGUCUCUUGAAAAUUGCCUCAAUUCUCUCUAGUUUUGAAGAUAUGAAGUAAAUGGGUUUUGCCCGUUUUUUUGCUACUGUUUUAAAAAUGACUGGGCAGGCCUUCAUCGUGUUCGCGAUGGGCCUAUCACAUUCGAGAUGGGUCAGGCCUAGAUGGCCAUCGCGUUUGCAUUCAAUGGCUCGCGUUCGCGGAGUUUCAGCUCCUCAAGCCUUCGCGUUUGCGGUCAGGUGGCCACGUUCGUGUAGAACAAUUUGAAACCCCUCCCCCAGGCCCACUAACCCUAUGCGUUCACGAGAGCCUGAACACGUUCGCAAAGGGUAACUCCCCCAAAAGCUUCGCGUUCACGUCCUGAGCUCCACAUUCGCGAAGAACAAACUGGCACCUGAGGAAAAUUGCCUUACGCGUUCGCUAGUGGAGCCAUGCAAAUGCGAAGAACAAAAUCUCUGUGCACCCGAGACAACAAAACCUGCAACUUUUCUAAGUGUAAAAACAUCCCGAAACCUAUCCGAAACUCACCCAAGCCCUCGGGGCUCCAAACCAAACAUGCAUACUAACCCAACAACAUCAUAUGGACUUACUCGUGUGAUCAAAUCGCCAAAUUAACACCUUUUACAAUGAAUUUAGCAUUAAAAUCAAAGAAGAAUCCCAAGAACUCUUAAGUUAAAAUUUUAACAACUGAGGGUCCGAUUCACGUAAUUUCAAGUCCGUUUCUUACAAAAUUUUACAGGCUCAACCUAAUACCAUAUAAGACCUGUACCGAGCUCUGAAACUAAAAUACGGGCCCAAUACCAUCAAUUUCAAAUACAUUCAAAUUACUAAAAAUAGUUAAAAUUUCAGUUAAACAAUUUCCUUCAAAAAUUUAUUUCUCGGGCUUGGGACCUCGGAAUUCAAUUUCGGGCUUACACCCAAGUCCCAUAUUUUUCUACGGACCCUCCAGGACCGUCAAAUUACGGGUCUGAGUCUGUUUAUCCAAAAUAUUGAUCUAAGUCAACUUAAAUUUAAUUUUAAGGCCAAAUUAGCAUUUUCAUCAAAUUGUCACAUAAAAGCGUUCCAGAUGUACGCCCAGAGUGCGCACACAAAUCGAGGUAAGAUAAAAGGAGGGUUUUAAGACCUCAGAAUGCAGAAUUUACUUGUAAAUCAAAAAGGUCAUCACAUUUAUUAUUUCAUUUUGUGAUUCCUGUAUCAUCUAAAUAAAUAGAGAUGGACUUAUUUAAUCAUGGGAACAUUUCACAUUACUGAAAUAGUUUCUCAAGAUAGUUCCCAGCACAACUCAAGCUAAUUCGUGUAUCUACUUACAAAUAAUAUUAUUGUAGUAUUAUUAUCGUUAUUUUCCGGUGUCAUUUUCCUACACUCUAUGAAACUAUGACAAGUAAUACUACUCUGAAAUUUUUUGAUGGUACUAUCAUUUUUGGUGUUGUCUCCACUGCUACUCUUCUAGCUGUCCUGAUAGAUAUCUACGGUGUUGCAAAUACGUUAUUGCAUCCACAACUUUGGCAGAUAGUAAUGUCAAAGCACAGGUAUGUGAAUAGACAUGGUUACAUAUCCAAUACUAAUAUUAAAAUCUUCAAAAAAAUUGCACCUCAAUGCAAGAGAAGAGUUGUGACAAUUGAUAAUCUUGCUAAGUCAAAAUUAAAUUUGACUAAAGAAUUGUUGCGGCCAUUUCCCAAAUAAAUAAUAUGGCCAAUGUGAGAAAUUGUGUGAUACACCCAAGUUGAGGAAGGAGAAGAAACUAUUUAUCUUGAUGAUUCAAGAACAACUUGUGUUCUUGGGAAUGUAAAAAUUCCUCUCAAACUCAUAUUUCGUAAAACUCUAGCAUUGAGAGAUGUAUUGCACUAAUAUCCAAACCAAUUUGAUUUCUGUGGGGUUAUUAAGAAAAGUUGGAGCGAAGGUUUUAUUUUAAAAUAAUGAGGUCGUAUUGACCAAAAAUGAUAUUUUGUGGGCAAUGGAUAUUGUAACCAUGGUUUAUUUAUGCUUAAUAUUUCUAAUACUAGCUAUGAAAAUGCAUCUUCUUCUGCUUAUAUGGUUGAGUCUGUUUUUCUAUGACAUGCUAGACUAAGACAUGUUAAUGUCGCGUAUAUAAAGAAAAUGCAGUCACUAGGAUUAAUAUCUGGUUUCAACUCAAAUAAUAUUGGCAAAUGUGAAAUAUGUGCUGAAGCUAAAUGUGACGGCCCGACCAGUCGUCUCAUGAGUUAGUGCCUGUUUCCCUAUUUCUGCUUCUUUAUACUUUGUUUGUCCGUGUCAUGUGGUAUCAGGUUGGUCGGAUCGAAUCCGUAAUGAUUUUGGUAAGGUUUGGGACACAUAGUCUCUUUUGACGAAGCUUGAGUUAGAAAAGUCAACUGGAUAUUGACUUAUGUGUUAGAGGGCUCGGAUGUGAGUUAUGAAGGUUCGGUUAGCUUCGCUAGGUGAUUUGUGACUUAGAAGUGUGAUCAGAAUGGGUUUUGGAGGUCUAGAGUAGAUUUAUGCUUGAAUUGGCGAAUUUGAUAUUUUGGCGAUUUCUAGUUGAUAGGCAAGAUUUUGAUAUAAGGGCCGGAACGCAAUUCCGAGAGUUGCAGUAGUUUCGUUGUGUGAUUUGCGAUGUGUGCAAAAUUUCAGGUCAUUCGGACGAGUUUGGUUGGGUUUUUGCUCGAAAGCCUAAUUUGGAGGAUUUUAGGAAAUUUGGCUUGAAUCUGAUGUGUUUUGGGUGAUUUGAUGUUGUUUGAGGUGUUUUGAUGAUUGGAACAAGUUUGAAUAAGGUAUUAGAAUAUGUUUGUGCUUUUGGUUGAGGUCCCGGGGACCUCGGGGUGAUUUCGGAUGGUUGACGGAAAGGUUUGAGACUUGUGAAAUUUGCAGAAUCUCAACUGCUUUUGGUAUUUCCGCACCUGCGGAUUGGGGACCGCAGGUGCGACGCCGCAAGUGCAGAAGAUAGGCCGCAUAAUCAAAAAAAGGUCUAGAGGAGCAGGAACUGCAGAAGCGGUUAAUGGGACUGCAUCUGCGAAUCCGCAGAUGCGGAUAAGGGAUCGCAGAAGCAAGAGUGCCUGGAAAGGCAGCAACCGCAGAUGUGGUGGAUGGACCGCACCUGCGAAGGCGCAGAUGCGGAAGAUUGAUCGCAAAAGCGGUUUGGUCCAUUAAGUGGUUUCCGCAGAAGCGGAAGAAGAACCGCAAAUGCGAUACCGCAAAAGUGGGUAUUGGGCCGCAUAGGCAGAAGGUAUAAAUUGUAGCCUUCGCGAAUUUUGAGCUAUUUCACCAUUUUUAUCUCGGCUUGGGAGCUUUUUGGGCGAUUUAAAAGAGGAAUUUCAAGGGAACUUCAUUGAGGUAAGGAACUUGGACCUAAAACUCAUUCCUAUGCUAUUAUUUCAUGGAUUAGAGCUAGAAAUUAUGGAAAUUAAAGGUUAAAAUUGGGAAAACUAGUGCUUGGAAACUUAGGUAUUUAAUUGUGGAUUUGAAGGACCAUUUGGGGUCGGAUUUCUGAACUUUUGAUAUGUAUGAACUUGUAGGGACAUAAGGAAUCUAUUGAUGUAAAAAUUAUUGAAUUUCGAGACGUGGGCCCGGAGGUCGGGUUUUGGUAAUUUCGGGAUUUGUGUCAUUUAUUGAUUGUUUUCUCUUGGUCUUCGUUCCACUAGCAUAUUUUGACGUCCGCGUUCUGAUUUUGGAUAGAUUCGACGCGAGUGGAGGCCGAUUCGAGGGGCAAAGGCAUCACGAGCUAGAGAUUUGACCGGUUCGAGGUGAGUAAUGAUUGUAAAUGAUGUUUUGAGGGUUUUAAACCCCGGAUUGCACAUCGUAGUGCUAUAUUGAGGUGAGGCACACGCUUGAUGACGAGUGGUCUAUCACUACUGAUGAUUUUAUGGUGUAUUUGACUAAAAUCCAUUUGUUUUCAUCAUUAUUUGGGAUGAAGGCUAUAUUUGGGCCUAGUGCUAACUAUUUGAACCCUUCGGGGCUUUUUAUUGUUAUUUCCUCACUAUUUUGACUUUAUACUUGAACUCAGUCAUGUUAUUUUCCAUUGUUUUCAUAUUUAGCCACAUUUGCUCAAUUUUAAGACUUAAAUGAUAUUUUAAAUGAUGUUUGGGUUGAGAAACACUAUUUUACUAUUGCUCGAGGGGCUUGUGAGGAUUUUUGACUGAGUAAGGCCGACGGCCUAUGUUGUGAGGAAACAUUUGAUACUGAUUAUGAGGCCGAGGGCAUGAGAUAUGUAUGCCACGAGGUGGGUUGAUUGAUAUGAGGCCGAGGGCCUAGUUUUGAUGCCACGAGAUGGCUUGAUAUUGCGCUUGGGCCGUAAGGGGCCCCUCCAGGAGUCUGUAUACCCCAGUGAGUGCGGGUACCCAUUGUGAUGUGAGAUUGAGCCCGAGGGGCGGAUUUGUUGAUACUGUGCCCGAGGGGAGAACUUCUAUUUGUUUACUUUACCUUAACUACCUGUCAAUAACCUAUUUAAUUGAUGGAAAAGGAUUGUUACUUAAAUUUUCAUUGGUUUACUGUUUUUUAAUGUUUCACUACUUCAUUAUAGAAUGUCUUGUGCCUUACGUGUUUUCUUACUUUCAGUCGUUAUUUACAUUUGUUACCUACUGAGUUGGAGUACUCACUUUAUUCCGUGCACCCCUGUGUGCAGAUUCAGGCGUUGCUGAUCCUGCCAGUGCAAGUUGAGAGCUCCCGGCGGACAUUCGGAGUUCACGAGGUAGCUGUUGGCGUCCGCAACCCCGUGUCUCUACUCCUUUAUCACUUCUAUCACUUUUCAGAUAGUUGUACUAGUUUAUUGUCUUAGCGGAUUUGUAUUAUGACUUAUAGAUUCUCAUGACUAGUGACACCCCGGUUAGGGCUAUGUAUGGGUGUUCUUCCACGUAUUUAUAUUAUCAUUGUUAUUUUGAAUUUAAUUUAUCAUGUUUAGAUCGUUUCUUAAAUGCUUAACUGUUAAUAAUUGGAAAAUGGGAAGUGUCGACUGGCCUUGUCUUCACGAGAGGCUCCAUCACAACCAGAUUCGAAUUAGGGUCGUCACACUAAAAGUACUAGAAAGACUUAUUUUUUUGUAAAUAGAGAAACCAAUUUGUUAUCCUUUAUUCACACUGAUUUAGACGAUUAAAACAUACUAUGACUAGAGGUGGUAAAAGAUAUUACGUGACUUUUAUUGAUUAUUUUUCUAGAUAUAUUAAGUUGUAUUAGCUUAAAAAUAAAGAUGAUGCUUUUAUUUCUUAUAAAAUUGAGGGUGAAAAUCAACUUUGUAGAAAAAUCAUGAGAAUUAGAUCUGAUAGAGGUGGAGAAAAUUUUCUUUAAAUGAUUUUUGUGAAAAGAAUGGAAUAAUUCAUGAAGUAACCCCGCCUAAUUCACUUGAUUUAAAUGGAGUAGCCGAAAGAAAAAAUAGAACAUUGAAAGAGAUGAUGAACUCUAUGUUAGUUAGCUCUAAUGCUCUCGAUAAUUUGUGGGGUGAAGCUAUUUUAUCUGCAUGUCACUUAUAAAAUAGAAUACCACAUACAAGAACUGACAAAACUCUGUAUGAAUUGUGGAGGUGUUAUAAACCUAACUUGAAAUAUUUAAAAAUGUGGGCUUGCCUUGCUGAAGUUCUUUUGCUUGAACCUAAAAAGAGAAAAAUAGGUUUUGAAAUUGCUGAUUGUAUGCUUAUUGGAUAUGCUGAACAUAGUGCUGCAUAUAAAUUUCUUAUAAUAAAAAGUGAUGUGCUUGAUUACAAUACUAUAAUUGAGACAAAAAAUGCUGAGUUCUUUGAAUAUAUUUAUCCAUUGUCUAAUAAAAUUUCUCAUACACCUGUUGAAACAAAUAGUAAAAUUACCUGUAAUGAGGAACUGAGAAGGAGUAAAAAGCCUAGAAAAUAAUAUUUUUCUUAUGAAAAUAAUUUUCAAACUUUUCUUGUCAAUAAUGAACCAUUAAAUUAUUUUGAAGUUAUAUUCUUCUGAAGCUAAUUAUUGGAAAGAGGCAAUAAAAGUUGAAAUCCAUUCUAUUUUGAAAAAUAAAACAUGUAUUUUAACAGAUUUACCUCCUGGUACAAAGCCUGUUGGUUGUAAAUGGAUUUUCAAAAAGAAAUUUAAUCUCAAUGGAUCUUUACAUAAAUAUAAAGCUCGGUUAGUAGAAAAAGCAUUUUCUCAAAAAUAAAAUAUAGAUUAUUUUGAUACAUUUGCACCACUGACUAGAAUUUCUUCUAUUCAAGUUUUAAUUGCCUUAGCUUCAAUUCAUAAUCUUUUUAUCCAUCAAAUGGAUAUCAAAACAGUUUUUUUAAAUGUUGAUUUAGAAGAAGAAAUUUAUAUGGUUUAACCUGAAGGCUGUGUCAUUAUUGGGCAUGAAAAUAAAAUUUUUAAAUUAAUUAAAUCUCUUUAUGGCCUUAAAGAAGCUCCUAAGCAGUGGUAUGAGAAAUUUGAAUAAGUCUUACUGAGAGACAAUAUUUCCUCAAUUGAGGUAGAUAAAUGUAUUUGUACUAAAGUGGUAGACAAUGAUUAUGUGAUAAUAUGUCUAUAUGAUGAUGACAUGCUUAUAUUUGGUACAAAUUUAAAUAUUGUGCAAAGUAAAAAAUUAUUUGUGUCUACUAAUUUUGAUGUGAAAGAUCUGGGUGAAGUAAAUACAAUAUUGAAAGUUAAAGUUAUAAAGAAUGAAGAUAAAAUAAUGUUGUCACAAGAACAUUAUGUUGAGAGACUUCUUAAGAAGUUUGAAUAUUUUAAUGUCACAUCUGUGAGCACUCCUUUUGAUGCUAACUCUUAGUUAAAAAAAUAUAAUGGUGACCCAGUUGCUAGUCUAAAUAUGCGUAGAUUAUUGAGAGUCUGAUGCAUUUAAUGAAUUUUACAAGGCCUGAUAUAACCUAUGUUGUGUGUAGACUGAGUAGAUAUACUCAUAAUCCCAACAGAGAGCAUUGAUCUGCAUUAGAUUGACUAAUGAAAUAUUUGAAAGGAACCAUGAAUUAUGGUAUCCUAUAUAGUGGAUUUUCUUCUACUUUAGAAGGGUACAGUGAUGCAAACUGGAUCUCUGAUUCAGAUGAGACAAAAUUCAUUAGUGGUUAUGUAUUCACCCUUGGCGGUGGUGCAAUAUCGUGAAAAUCAGCUAAAUAGACAUUCAUUGCUGGAUUAACUAUGGAAUAAGAGUCUGUAGCUCUGGAGUUAGAUGGUUCUGAGGCUAAGUGCCUAAGAAACUUCUUAGCUAAUAUCCCUUUAAUGAAGGACGUAUUGCCUCCUGUGUCUAUGCAUUGUGAUUGUCAAGCGACAAUAGCUAUUGCAAAGAAUAAAUCUUAUAAUUAUAAAAUAGACACAUGAAACUGAGACAUAAUGUCAUAAAAUUGCUGUUGAGAUAUGGAAUAAUUUCCAUUGACUAUGUGAAGUCAGAGAUAAAUUUGGCAGAUCCUCUGACUAAAUCUGUGAGAAGAAAAUUAAUUCUUCAAACCUCAAAAGAGAUGAGGUUAAGGCCGAUAUGUUGUUAAUAGAGAUGAUAACCCAACCUAUGUGAUUGGAGAUCUCAUGAAGUAGGUUCAUGUGGGUAAUAACAAGUCUAUAUUGGCACUAAAACACUAAAAGAGAGUGCUUGAAUGCUACUAAUUGAGAGGCUGAGUUAUAACUCUUAAUUAAAUUCAUAGUUCUUAUGGAUGGUGUAUUUAAAAGCAGUAUACACUUGAUGAAUUCACCUAUAUGAGAGUGGAGUGGGCCGCUCCUAUGAAAUUUUGGCCUAGUCUUUAGAGCUCUCAUGAAUAACCAAGCACGCGCAUGGCCUAUUGGGCGCAAAAUCGUGUUGAACAACAAAAUUACCGAGGGUCAAAAUGUGAUUGAUAAAAUAUCUGGCUUACAAUAAGAAUUAUUGGUUCAUAGAAAUAUUAUAUUUCACCAGUAAUUCUGUGAGUUAAAUUUUAUUGGUCUAAGUUUGGUUCAUAGUCCAAAAGACACCAAACCUAUUAAAUUUGGACCAUGCAAAUCCAGUAAGUCAAUUCUUUCAUUCCUUUAUUCUUAUCCUAUAAAUUUUGAAAAUAUGUGUGGAUUGUGGGAGAAUUUUCAAAUUUUAACUAGCCAUGGGUCUUUUUUAUUUUACAAGUGUCCUAUCUAUUUCCAAGUGGCUUCUUGCAUAAAGCUUCGUGGCCAAAUACUCUUAGAUAAUUGGUACAUGAAAAGUACAAUUUGCGGAAACCAACACAGCCUAACAUCGGGGUGUCACCAGUCAUGAGCAUCUAACACAAAUCUAAGAGUAUGAAAGAGUUUAUAUAGUCUAUUACCGAAUUAGAACAAGGGAAGUAAAAUACGAGGGAGAAACACUAGGCUGGGAACGCCGAGCUACUACCUAGUGGACUCCGAAUAGCCUGCUGGGAGCAAUCAACCCUCAAUGGUGGGACCUGAAGCUCUUAAAUUUGCACACAGGGUGCAGGGAGUAAAGUGAGUACUCCAACUCAGUGAGUAAUAACAAUAAAUAAAGACUGAGCGAUAAGAAAUCACGUAAAACACAACAACAUGCUAUAAAGAGGUAGUGUAAAACCAAUAAAAAGCAAUAAAAUAGUGAAAUCUUAUAAAAACACCUUAGUUAAGUAUAAGCUUCUUUAAAACACAUUUUUAACAUCUAAACAAGUAAAUGAAAAGCAACAAGAAAGAUACACACAUAAAAUCCGCCCCUCGGGCACAAUGUUAACAAAAUCAGCCCCUCGAGCAAUAACAUGGAACAACACCAGCCCAUCGGGCUAUAUCACAUAUCACACUAGGUACCCGCGCUCACUAGGGGUGUACAGACUCCGGGAGGGGCCCCUUACGGCCCAAGCACAAUAUCAAGUCAUCUCGUGGCAUAAUCAAUAGGCUCUCGGCCUCACAUCAAGCCACAUUGUGGCGUACAACUUAGGCCCUCGACCUUAUAAUCAUAAUCAGUACAACACUGCUGCGGCCUGAAGCCUGAUCACAUAAUAAUCCUCACAACACAGGCCCUCGGCCAUACUCAGUCAGAAAUCUCUAAAAGCCACUCGGGCAAAGUAAAACAUGAUGCUCGGCCCCAAAAUAUCAUAUAAGAUGUCAAAACAGAAUAAACAUGGAUGGGUUAUAAAAACAAUAAAGUAUAGCAUGACUGAGUACAAGUAUAAAGUUAAAACAGUGAGGAAAUAGUAGUAAAAGUCCCCUAAGGAUCAAAACAGUUGGUACGAGGCCCAAAUAUGGCAUUCAGCCCAAAACAUGAUGAUAGCAAAUAAUUUUCAAUCAAAUAUGUAGUAAAAUAGUCAUACGGGAUGGACUAAGUCACAAUCUCCAACGGUGCACGACCCCAUGCUCAUCAUCUAGCAUAUGCGUCACCUCAAUACAACACAACAAUGUGAAAUCUGGGGUUUCAUACCCUUAGGACAACAUUUACAAUCAUUACUCACCUCUACCCGAUCCGAACUCUAGCCCACGAUGCCCUUGCCUCUCGAAUCGGCCUCCGGAUGCUCCAACUCUAACCAAAAUCACUGCAAACCCAUAGAAAUAUGCUAAGGUAACAAAGCCCACUCGAAAGAAAUCAAAUUACAACCCAAAUCCCAAAAUUGGCUAAAUAUGACCCCCAGGCCCACAUCUCGGAAUCCAAUUAAAAUUACAUCAAUAGACUCCUUAUCACUCCCCGAGUUCAUUCAUAUCAAAAUCACCAAAAUCCAACCACAAACGACCCCUCAAAUCCCAAAUUCUAGGUCUCCAAUUACAAGCCCUAGUUCUUCAAUAUUUAGGCUUAAAUUCUAGAAAUUCCAUGGUUAAUUAGGUAGAAAUCACAUUAUAAUUGAGUAUUAAAUCCGUAAAUCUUACCUCCAAGUUUUCCCCCUUGAUUCCCUCUUCAAUCGUCUUCAAAAAGCUUCAAAAUCACCCAAAAAUGGAGGAACUUAUGCUCAAAAUCACGGAAUAGGCCUUUUAAACAUUCUACCCAGCUAUUUCAAUUCCUUCUUUGCGAAUUCGGUCAACGCCUUGCAUUCGCGAAUCGUAAACUUAAGUUGACAAAUUUUCCUUCUUCGCGAACACGUCUCUCCUCUCGCGAACGUAAAGGCUCAACUUCCCAGCCAAUCGCGAAUGCAGCUCCCAUCUCGCAAACGCGUAGCUUGAUGCCCCCAACCCUUCGCGAACGCGGGACCUCCCUCGCGAACGUGAAGGCCAAACCUUUAGCCUCACAUUCUAGCCCUUAGCGAACAUGAAGGUCCACUCACGAACGCGAAGCACUACUGUUUGCAACACUACAACAAAUGUUUCUGCAAUUUAUUCAACAUGAAAUGGUCCGUUUGACCACCCAAAACUCACCUGAGGCCCUCGGGACCUCAACCAAACAUGGCAACAUGUCCCAUAACAUCAUUCAAACUUGUUCCAACCUUUGGAACGCUCAAAACAACAUCAAAACACCAAAUUUGCAUCGGAUUCAAGCCUAAGAAUUCUAAAAACUUCCAAAUUCCGCUUUUGAUCAAAAAGUCUACCAAACCACGUCCGAAUGACCUAAAUCCCAAAUGACACAAAGGACCUACUGCAACUCCCUAAAUUCCAUUCCGAACCCUAUAUCAAAAUCUCACCUAUCAACCGGAAAUCGCCAAAAUUCCAAUUUUGCCAAUUCAAGCCUAAAUCCACUCCUGACCUCCAAAACACAUUCCGAUCACGCUCCUAAGUCCCAAAUCACCUCCCGAAGCUAUCCGAACCAUCAGAAAUCACAUCUGAUACCUUUAACACAUAAGUCAACAUCCGGUUGACUUUUUCAACUUAAGCUUCCUCAAAAUAGACUAAGUGUCUCAAACCUUACCUAAACCUCUCCGAACCCGAGUCAACCAACCUGAUAAUACAAAAUACAACUGAACAAGGCAAUAAGAAGCAAAAAUUGGGGAAAUGGAGCGGUAACUCAUAAAACGACCGGUCGGGUCGUUACAUCCUCUCCCUCUAAAACAAAUGUUCAUCCUCGAACGAGUCAAGAAACACACCGGAUACCUCAAAUAUGAGAGGAUAUCUUCUCCGCAUAUCCCCUUCGGUCUGCCAGGAAGCCUCCUCCACGAGCCGACCUCUCCACUGCACUUUCAUUUAAAUUAUAUCCUUUGACCUCAACUUUCGAACCUGAUGCUCCAAAAUAGCUACUGGCUUCACAUCAUAAGUCAAAUCAUCAUCUAGUUGAACCGUGCUAAAAUCUAAAACGUAAGACGGAUCCCUAAUAUAUUUCCGGAGAAUAGAAACAUGAAAUACCAGAUGCACACUUGACAAGCUGGGUGGCAAAGCAAGCUCAUAAGCCACCUCCCCAAUCCUCCGAAGCACCUCAAACGGCCCAAUGAACCGAGGACUCAAUUGACCCUUCUUACCAAAUCUCAUAACACCCUUCAUGGAUGAACGCUUCAACAGAACCUUCUCACCAACCAUGUAGGAUACAUCCCGAAUCUUCCGGUCAGCAUAACUCUUUUGUCUCGACUGCCCAUUAUGAAGCCUCUCCUGAAUUACCUUCACCUUUUCUAAAGUAUCCUGCACCAAGUCUGUCCCCAAUAGCCUAGCCUCACCCGGCCCAAACCAACCAACUGGAGAUCUACACCGCCUCCCAUACAAAGCCUCAUAUGGAGCCAUUUGAAUGCUCGACUGGUAGCUAUUGUUAUAAGCAAACUCCGCGAGCGGUAGAAACUGAUUCCAUGACCCUCUAAAAUCAAUAACACAAGCACACAAUAUGUCCUCCAAUAUCUGAAUAGUGUGCUCGGACUGCCCCUCCAUCUGAGGGUGAAAAACGUGCUCAACUCAACUUGAGUACCCAACUCUCGCUGCACAGACCUCCAAAACUGCAAGGUAAAUUGAGUGCCCCUAUCUGAAAUGAUGGAAAAUAGGACAUCAUACAAACAAACAAUCUCCUGGAUAUAGAUCUUUGCCAACCGCUCUAAAGUAUAGGUAGUACACACAGGAAUGAAGUGCACGGACUUGGUCAGCUGAUCCACAAUCAUCCAAAUAGCAUCGGACUUCUGCAAAGUCCGUGAGAGCCCAACUACAAAGUCCAUGGUGAUACACUCCCACUUCCACUCUAGAAUAUCCAUUUGUUGAAGCAAGCCACCCGGUCUCUGAUGCUCAUAUUUCACCAGCUGACAAUUGAGACACUAAGACACAAAUCCCACAAUGUCCUUCUUCAUUCUCCUCCAGCAAUAAUGUUGUCUUAGAUCUUGAUACAUCUUUGCAGCACCAGGAUGAAUGGAAUACCGCGAGCUAUGGGCCUCCUCCAGAAUCAAAUCCCGAAGACUAUCUAUAUUGGGCACACAUAUCCGGCCCUGCAUCCUCAACACCCCAUCAUCAUCAACAGUCACAUCUCUGGCAUUAUCGUGCUGAACUUUGUCCUUAAGGACUAGCAAAUGAGGAUCAUCAUAUUGGCGCUCUCUGAUACGAUGAAAUAAAGGAAGACCGAGAAAUCACACAAGCCAAUACCCGACUGGGAUCCGAAAUAUCCAACCUCACGAACCAAUUGGCCAAGGCCUGAACAUCAACUGGAAGAGGUCUCUCCCCAACUGGAAUAUAUGCCAAACUCCCCAUACUCGCGCCUUCUUACUCAAAGCAUCGGCCACCACAUUGGCCUUUCCCGAAUGGUACAAAAUAGUAAUAUCAUAAUCCUUUAGCAACUCCAACCAUCUCCGCUAUCUCAAAUCGAGAUCUUUCUGCUUGAACAAGUGCUGGAGGCUAUGAUGAUCAGUAAAAAACUCACAAGACACACCAUACAAAUAAUGCCUCCAAAUCUUCAACGCGUGAACAAUGGCAGCCAACUCCAAAUCGUGAACAGGGUAGUUCUUCUCAUGGGGCUUCAACUGACGAGAAGCAUAAGCAAUAACUUUACCCUCCUGCAUCAACACACACCCAAUACCAACUCUCAAAGCAUUACAAUAUACGGUAUAUGAACCUGAAGCUGAUGGCAAAACAAAUAUUGGAGUUGUGGUCAAGGCAGUCUUAAGCUUCUGAAAGCUCUCCUCACACUCAUUUGACCACUUGAAUAGAGCACCCUUUUGAGUCAACUUGGUCAAGGGCGAUGCGAAAGAUGCGAAUCCCUGAACAAACCGGCGGUAAUAACCCGCCAAACCAAGAAAGAUACGAAUCUCUGUGGCCGAGGACGAUCUGGAUCAACUCUGAACAGCCUCUAUCUUCUUCGGAUCAACCUGAUACCCUCACUGGACACCACGUGCCCCAAGAAAGCCACUGAACUGAGCUAAAACUCACAGUUGGAGAACUUUGCAUAAAGCUUCUCCUCCCUCAAUCUCUGCAACACAACUCUCAAAUGCUCCGCGUGCACCUUCUGACUAUGCGAAUACACCAGAAUAUCAUCAAUGAAAACUAUGAUGAACGAGUCGAGAUACGGUCGGAACAUAUUGUUCAUCAAAUGCAUAAACGCUGCUGGGGCAUUGGCCAGCCCAAAAGACAUCACCAAUAACUCAUAAUGACCAUAUCGGGUCCUGAAAACCGUCUUAAGAAUAUCCAAGUCCCUGAUCUUCAACUAGUGAUAACCUGAACAGAGAUCAAUCUUGGAGAACACUCUCGCUCCCUGAAGCUGCUCAAACAAAUCAUUGAUACAAGGCAAAGGAUAAUUGUUCUUGAUUGUUAUUUUGUUCAACUGCUUGUAAUCAAUGCAUAUCCUCAUAGUUCCAUCCUUCUUCACAAAUAAAACCGGUGCACCCCAAGGCGAUACACUAGGCCGAAUGAACCCCAUAUCAAGGAGUUCCUGAAACUGCUCCUUUAACUCCUUCAACUCCGAUGGUGCCAUAAGAUACAGUGGAAUAGAAAUGGGCUGAGUUCCCAGCACCAGAUCAAUACAAAAAUCACUAUCCUUGUCCGGUGGCAUGCCUGGCACGUCAGCAGGAAACACAUCGGGAAACUCCCUCACAACAUGAAUAGAAUCAAUACUUGGAGUCUCUGCACCGACAUCCCUAACAAAGGCUAGAUAUGAAAGACAACCCUUCCCAACCAUCCGCUUGGCCUUCAAGAAUGAAAUUACCCUAUUGGAAACAUAAUCAGUCGAACCUCGCCACUCAAUCCGUGGCACACCUAACAUAGCCAAUGUCAUUGUCUUAGCAUGACUGUCCAAAAUAGCACGACACGAAGAUACCAAUACAUGCCCAAUAAAACAUCGAAGUCUACCAUACAUAACAAAAACAGAUCCACUCGAGUCUCCAGACCCCCAAUAGUCACCACAUAUGACCGGUACAUGCGAUCUACAACAACAGUAUCGCCCACCGGAGUAGAUACACGAACAGAUGAAACGAGAGACUCACAGGGUAUAUCUAAAUAACGAGCAAAGUAUUAUGACACAUAAGAAUAAGUGGAACCGGGAUCAAAUAAUACAGAGGCAUCUCUGUGGCAGUCUGAGAUAAUACCUGUGAUCACGGAGUCUGAAGCAAUAGCAUCGGGUAUGUCAUACCUCCUUUUUCCUACAACCUCGUAAGGGAGUAUAAAGGGAGUUUUUUCAACUUAAAGUGAAAAUCGAAACGAGAUUAUUUAUUUAUUAAACUCAGAGUCGCCACUUGGGAUAAAUUAUGGUGUCCCAAGUCACCGGUUCAAAUCCCAAAUCGAGGAAAAGAUUGAUUCUGUAUUACAGUAUGCGAACAUAGAAAUCGGGGUAAGGAAUUCUGUUAACUCGGGAGAAGGUGUUAGGCAUUCCCGAGUUUCGUGGUUCUAGCACGGUUGCUCAACUGUUAUAAUUUGCCUAUUAUCUGAUUUUAAUACAUGUUUUAGCCUAUGGUGCCAUUUUAACUUAUUAACCGCUCUUAUUCAUUUUUAGGAAGAUUGUAACGUCAUUUAAAAUAUGUCUUGAACCACGUCACAUAAAUGCACCCGCAGUCCGCAACACAUUUUAUAUAACAUUGUCGAGAUUUGGAUUUGGGUCACAUAAAUGCGCACCCGAGUUUAGGAAGGUAAAUUAUUAAAUAGCGCGUCUAAAGAAACUACGAUGCAUUCAUUUCCUAUACUAAUCUAUUAUGGAGGUCAUGAUUUAAGGAUUGAACUACAGUACGCCCGCUAUUUUACAUUGUAACAAGACUAAGAAAUUUCAACACUUUUAUCUAUUUUUUUAAUCCUUAAGCAAAUGAUGUUGUAUCUACUAUCUACUAUAUUUACAUCCUCAUUUCACACCAAAAAGCUAAAAGACAAAUAUAUAUAUAUGUAUUAUAAAAUAUGUUGUUCCCUACUUUGCUGUCAAAGCAUAAGUUCCAUUUUUUCCAUAUAAUCCAUCUUAUAUUAUCUCAAAUAAAUAGCAACAACAAUAAGUGAAACAAAAUAUAAGAAUGGAAAUAAAAUUAAUUUUAAGGUGAAAUAUAGGUAAACAAAAAGAUCACAUAUAAGACAAAUCACAAACAUUAUUAAUAAAUCAUUUUAAAAGAGAGGACAGAAACAUUCGCAUUUUUGGAUUCAUGAUUUUUGACGCCAAAGUUUAUAAAUUCAAGCUAACCUUACCUGCCAAAUCAUUUUUCAUUAAUCUCACGCCUAAUUUUCAACCCCUGUCAGUGGAUACCAUUCCAAUUCUCUUUAACAAAAUUUAAAUUGCUUUGUCACAUUUAACAAGUAAAUAGUAGCAUAGUUUCAUGUAGUCACUAAACACAAUAUAGGCAUGAAAGGCAAUAACAAUGAAGAUAGACCGAACAAAACAUAAACAUGAAGAAUGGAUUAUCUACUAACUCAAACCACAAACAAGGUAAGGCAACAGAGGAUUCAUGACAAUAAAUUAGAAUGAAAGUAGAGAAGGAACAGAAAUGACAGACCUUUUAUAUACAUGGAAAUUUAUUGACUACAAAGAUGUGAGCUCGACGUGAGAAUUCAAACAAAACCGAACCAGGCACGGAGAACUCGCCGACGACCUCGAACAAGGAUCUGGACAAAAAUUAUAGCGACUCGACUAGAUUUGGACAGCUAUUUCGAGUGUAAAGGAAUCGGUUCGAUGGAUGUUUGCGGCUGGUUUUGGACGGCAUUUCAUUGGAUAUCUGGUGCUAAUUUUGGGACAGUUCUUUUGGGAUUUUUGGACUGUUUUUUCAGCAAUUUCGCAGCUGGUUUGGCUCCUCUUUAGAGCUCUUUUGCGGACAGUUUUUGAGGCUAGUUUGGGUGACGUUUUUGGGGUUGAAUUUCAGCUUGGUUUAGGGCUCUUUUCGUGGUGGUUUCGGGUGUUUCAGGGGUGUUUGAGCUGAAGUUUUUGAGGUUGAAAAGCUAUGGAUGAAGCUAGUUUUUGGGUGAAGCAACAACGGGUUUCAGCUACGUUUUCUUUUGGAUGCUUUUGGCUGCUUCUUAUUACUGAUUUUAGAGGGUCCUGUGGUUACUUUUGUCAUGAGAAGGGAUGGCCUUAUAUGGCUAUGAAAAUUUGAUGGAAAAAGAGAAUGAAGUUUCCACCAGGAAGAAGAAGCAAAGAAUGGCGGAUGCUCCUCUUCAAUCCAAUUGUUGCCGCUGUUUUUUAGUCUAUAUCUAGAUCCUCAAAACGGC